AGGUCCAGGCAAAGGGACCAGCAUUCAUCAAUGCACCGCAAAGAGAAGAGCGUCCUCAUCCUGCAACAAGGACGACGAGCCCUGAGGCUCUGCCUGGCUUUCCUGUGGCACCUCCGCUCUGUCCUGUUUGCCUUGGACAUGGGCCCUGAGCUGGGAACAAGGAGGGUCACGGAGGAAGGACGUAGCCCUGAACCCUGAUGUCUCAGCAAAGAUCUCUGCCACACUACUUCCCCAGUCAGGAGUCUGGUGACUGAAGACCUAUGAGACCCACCUGAACCUUCGUCUGCUCUUAAGUCCAGCCCAGGGUCAUCUUGGGCUAACUUCUCAGGGGCAUUGUCAAGAAGGGGAGGCCAGACUUCCACCUGUCUACUCCAGGACUCGAGAGGCAGAGCCAGAUGGGGAGCCAGCUAGCAAUCAUUUAUCUCACUUAACUGCAUCCUGCCCAUUGUGCGGAUGGAAAAACUAAGGUGCAGAUUGUAAGACAAAGGAGGCAGAGGCAAAACAGAGCCACAUCUCCAGACUGAACCUUCUGCUCCGUUCUUUCCUCAGCCUCUCAAUGCUCGCAGACGUCUGAUGUCUGCAGGGGACAGGGCCUGCCAUAGGAACCCAGGGGGUGGGGAGGACUGGCAGGAGUGUCACAUCUCAUGUUUAGUCUUUGGUGGCCAGGGACUGGCAGGUGCUGUAGGAACAGCUCUCUUGUCUUGGAUCCUGGAAAUGGGCCUCCUGGCAGCCAUGGAGAUUAAGGUCCCUCCCAGGCCCCGUUAUGCUUCACUGGAGGUUGACACUUCCCUGGCUCCCAGCUCCAAAAACAUCAACGAAAUGGGACCCAACAGAACAGGUCCUGUUUGGUUGUAGGACCGGGUCCGCGCCUUGCAGGUUCCACUGUUGCUUGGAACUCAGGGAACACACACCUGGAAAACUCGGGGCGUCUGAGCCCCCUUUGACAGGACUUAGACAACCUAGGCUUGUGCGGGCGGGCUGCUUCGGGGGUGCGAGGAAGUGGGGCUUCGCUCUGGGUCAUGUGUCAUCACAGAGCAGAGGCGACUCUGACUGGGGAUCUUAGAGAUUGUUAUUUUUAUCUAAAAGAGCCUCAAAGUGAAGCUGAAGGCACUGUCACCCGUCCAGCCAGGAUCGGGGAUGUUGGAUUCUCCUGUGCUUUAGAGUGCGUUCUUUUAUGAAUUUGCGUUCAGACGUGACAGGGUAGAGUCCCGGUGCAUUACGGCCCUAUCGUGGCUUUGUUGGACACGCCAAUCUUCAGCAUUGCUUCUGUGUCUGGGGCCGGCAUCCCGGGAGGGACCUCAGAGGGACCCUCCUGCCAUUUUCCGUUCAAAAGCUGAGCCAGCAGCCUUGCACUGACUGCUAGCAAGGAGCAGGUCCCAGCCAGGUAGACAGGCUUGCUCUGUGGCUGCAAAGGAAGGUGGACCCGAGUCCAGAUCCCUAGGUUCUCCCAGGGAGGAGGCUUCCACCCCGACAUGCCUUGCAUCUUUAUUCUUUCAUAAACAUACAAGGGACACUCGUUUUAUGCCAAGACCCAAGUGCCUCAGGCCAGUGCCUUAAUUCUCAAUGCUCAGUUUGUCUCUCUGGGAAAUGGGUACAAUGUUAAUACCUGAGAUAGAUGAAGGCCUAUUGCAUUGCCCUGAAUUGAUGUGGUUAAACACUGGGAGUCAAGUGUGGAGCCAUGCUGGUCCGUACCAUCAUAGAUUUUAUUAUAGAGAGGCAAGAAGGGGGUGGCUCGGGAGAACAUGUCUUGUUCCUCCUUGUCAUGGUCUAGAGAUCAGAGACCCCAGUGAUUCCCCACAUAGCCUGGGCUGUAUAGACCAGGAUCUGAGGGUUCCAGAGUUCUGGUCCCUCCAGUCUAUACUACCCCUUAACUCCCCCAAAGACUGUACCAGGGACAUAGCUGGGAGGGAGGCAUCUCUUGAAAUUGCCCUGGCUAGCCCCUGACACCAUUCAGGCCCAGGAUUGACUACCCCAGAAGGGAGGCUGCUGUUUCCAACCUGAACCCCACCUCUGCGUGCCAUGGGCGCUGCCGACCCGAUGUCUUGUGGUUCUCCAGGCUCUCUAAACACAGCCCAGGGAGCUGCUGGGGCCCAGAGGCAGAGAGGGCACAGGCUGUGGGGGCGGAGGAGGGCAUGUGCUAUCCUGCCUUCUGCAUGCAUGGAGGAGGGGGUGGUUACAGGACAGCGUGAGACCGGCAUAGAAGGAAGUUUGUUUAUCUGUUGGGGAUAGCAGAGGCAGCGCCCAUGACAGGGGCCUGCACAAUGUGGGCAGGGAGGGUACUCAUUGUGCCCCUGAAUGGGUAGGUGUGGAUGUGUGCGGGGGCAGCCACUCUGGCAGGAGGGUGGGGGCCUGCACUUAGUGUGUAUGCUGAGCUUCAGCCUUGGUAGCUAGGCCUAGGUUCAGAGUUCACAUUGGCCUGGGUUCAUUUCUAAUUGAGAUCUUUCCUGGCUGUGUGAUCUUGGCCCAGUGGUUUACCCCCUCUGAGCCUCAUUCAUCUGCUCCAUGACUGGGGCUAGGCACAUGAAACUCAGUACUUGCUGCUCUUUGAGAGGACCCAAGUUUGGUUCCCAGAACCCACAUCAGGAGGCUCACGACUGUCUGCGACCCCGGCUUCAGGGAUCCAACUGCCACUCUGCCACUGGCCUCUGUGUACAAAUGUGGCAAUACACACACACACACACACACAUGCACUCAUGCAUGCUUGCACACAUGUGUGCUCACACACACACACACAAACUUUUAAAAAUAUUAAAUUAAAUAUUUAAUUAAAAAUAAAAAACCCAAAGA
rnacentral:lncRNA from 1 species